UACUCGAGUGGCGAACGGGUGAGUAACACGUGGGUGAUCUGCCCUGCACUUCGGGAUAAGCCUGGGAAACUGGGUCUAAUACCGGAUAGGAGCCAUUUUUAGUGUGAUGGUUGGAAAGUUUUUUCGGUGUAGGAUGAGCUCGCGGCCUAUCAGCUUGUUGGUGGGGUAAUGGCCUACCAAGGCGGCGACGGGUAGCCUGCCUGAGAGGGUGGACGGCCACAUUGGGACUGAGAUACGGCCCAG
rnacentral:rRNA from 1 species